rnacentral:snoRNA from 1 species
GGACUGUGAUCAUUUCUGUGAUAAGGCUUCCUUCGUCGAAAUUGGCCAAAUCGUUCGUCGACGAUUCUGCUAUAUCACCACCCAGGUUCUCUUUUC